rnacentral:rRNA from 1 species
CUACGGGAUGCACCAGUGGGGAAUAUUGGACAAUGGGGGAAACCCUGAUCCAGCAAUGCCGCGUGUGUGAAGAAGGCCUGCGGGUUGUAAAGCACUUUCGGUUGGGAGGACUGCUUCUAGCACUAAUAUUGUUGGAAGUUGACGUUACCUUCAGAAGAAGCACCGGCUAACUCCGUGCCAGCAGCCGCGGUAAUACAGAGGGUGCAAGCGUUAAUCGGAAUUACUGGGCGUAAAGCGCGCGUAGGCGGCUAGAUCAGUCGGGUGUGAAAGCCCCGGGCUUAACCUGGGAACUGCAUCCGAUACUGUCUAGCUUGAGUACAGGAGAGGAGAGUGGAAUUCCACAUGUAGCGGUGAAAUGCGUUGAUAUGUGGAGGAACACCAACGGCGAAGGCAGCUCUCUGGCCUGAUACUGACGCUGAGGUGCGAAAGCGUGGGGAGCAGACAGGAUUAGAUACCCCCGUAGUC